GUCUGCAACUCGACUGCAUGAAGCUGGAAUCGCUAGUAAUCGCGGAUCAGAAUGCCGCGGUGAAUACGUUCCCGGGUCUUGUACGCACCGCCCGUCACACCAUGGGAGCCGGAAAUGCCCGAAGUCAGUGGCUUAACCGAAAGGGGAGAGCUGCCGAAGGCAGGUCUGGUAACUGGGGUGAAGUCGUAACAAGGUAAC
rnacentral:rRNA from 1 species